rnacentral:misc_RNA from 1 species
GGUCUGCAUCAAAGAGUUAAUGUUACUGUUAUUGCUGCUACAAAUCGUCCUGACAAGAUUGAUCCAGCCCUUUUGAGACCAGGACGCUUUGAUCGGCUGCUUUAUGUGGGACCUCCUAACGAGACUGAUAGGGAAGACAUAUUUCGUAUCCAUUUGCGUAAGAUUCCAUGUAGUUCAGACAUCAGCAUAAAGGAGCUAGCUCAUCUUACUGAGGGCUGUACUGGAGCUGAUAUUUCAUUUAUCUGCCGUGAAGCAGCUAUUGCAGCCAUUGAGGAGUGCGUUGAUGCUUCUGAAGUAACAAUGCAACAUUUAAAGACUG